UAGAUAAUUAUUUUUAAAACAGAAUAUAGAAUAUCGACCGAUACAUGAAAACAACAAAUUAAAUAAGUAAAGCCGUUAUCGGUCAUAGCUGGAUCUUCGUGCUAAUUAAUUUUACUCCAAAAUGGACUAGAGUAACACUGGAGUAACCGACUCCAAGCCGACGUAGUCUAGUAUAGACCAUGGUGGAAGUAAUAAGGUGUGUUCGUAUUGUGGACACAUUUUCGUCUGUUCUGCGCAUCGUGACAAAAAUCGUCCAUUUUGAACUCAUACUAACAGGGAGCUUUCCAACAAGUGACACAAGCCGACACAAACGUCAUUCUAUCUUUCUUUUUUGGCAAUGAGUAACAAAGACAGAACGAUACCUGUGUCGACUUGUGUCGCUUGCUGGAAAGCUCCCACAGAUUCUUGUGUCGGUGUGUUUCCGUGAGUUAGUACACAGUCAAAAGUGCAAAAUUCGUAAAUAAUGCCGUCGUGUUCAAUAAAAAAUUGUAAAAACAACACGCGAAACGCAAAAAACCGAAAUAUUACUUUCUUGGGAUUUCCGAGGAAGACGGAAAUGAUAGAAAAGUGGAAAGUUUUCUACAAAGAGAACAUUAACCCUACUUCUGCUCGAGUUUGUUCAGAACAUUUUCUACCUGGUCAAUUCGAAGAUAAGACAUGGCUUAAAAAUUUAGUAGGAGACACGGGAAGAGUCUCAAAAACUACUUCCUGAUGCGGUUCCAAUGGCAUCGAUAGUAGAUCAACACAGAAUUGAGUAAAAUAUCGAGAACAGAUGAUACACAGAGAAAUGUGACAGGCACUGAUCAUGGCACAAAUCGGGAUCAGCCUUGCGAGUCGAAUUUCGUACAGCUAGUUGCUGUCGCAAGCAACGAUGAAAAUUUGGCUUUAUCACAUUCUAUGACAGUAAGAACAUCGACUUGUACAUUGUAAUAUGAUGUGAUUUACAUUACAAUUAAUUAAAAUAAUAAUAUUUAAUAAAUAAUAUUUUCACAAA